UGCCACGUUGAGUCUGACAUCAUGGCAGCUCCGAAUGCUUAAAAGAGACGGAGAAACACACAAGAGGAAAAACACUUCACAGUGUGCACUGAUAAGGACUUACUGAGCUCCUCUUCUUCCCUGGUCAGGCAGCAGCAGUCACAUGACAGCAGGCUGAGAGAAAGCGCUUCAUUCGCCAUAGCUGCGUUUUGUGCCAUAACGCGUUUUUAUCGCAACAUUUUACUCCCACUCGGUGAGUACGUUUCCAGGCCUUUUUGUCACCCUUUUUGUCUUUUCAAUUGCUCCUUUUUAUUUUUUUGCGCUGGGGUUUGAACGGUGAUAUUGAGAAGUGUUUGUUUUUAGGCGUUUUUGCAUCCGUGCAUCAAGUUUUCGGUAUGCGGUGAUUUCUAUCGGGCAAAUACGCGCUUGCAUUGGUGUCACAUCGCGCAACUGGUUUUUAAAAAGCCAUUUUUACGUAUGUGCAAUGGUUGUGGGUUUUCACACCUUUUUCUUUUUGGUUUUCUUUUGCUGUAGAUAUGCUUUGCUUGUCUUUUGCGGUGUUUGUUCGUGAGAGUUUUGUGAUUUUCAGCGAAGCAUUUGCUUUUAUUCUGGUGCGUCUUUUCUUUACCCGAAAAGUCAUUUUCAGACCUUUUAAUGCCAAACUUUUCUUGAUGCUUACCGAUGGCGUUUGUAUGUUUUUGGUUUUUCUUUCCUUUUUUAAAAGCCUUUUACUUUUGCUGAUGAUCUUAAGGUGAAGUGAUUUUUGGAUGGUAUCGUUUUUCACGUAGAUGAUGCAGAUUGAGGUUUCGGUGAAGGGAAUAAUUGUUUCUUUGCGGGAAAUAUCAAUGCGUCUUUUGCUUGCCACCAAGACGAACAGACGAUCCUUCCUUGCAGCCCUCUCAUAUACCCCCGAAGAGAAACAUCUCGCCUUUGGCAUCGAGUGUUCAGACAUGUGGUCAAACCCGGCAAGUAUUGAGAAUAGCUCUGCAACGGCGAGGCAGAUUGAGAAUCCCACAAACCCCUGCUUGAGCCAGCGAGCCAUCAGCUGGCAGGCGCUGGAAGAAGAUCUCCAGCGAACGCUCGGCACAGGAGAUUUAUCCGAUAAGAGGAGAAAAAUGACGGGAAAGUGUCAGACCAGCAAUGUCACCAACAAGAACGACCCGCGCUCCCUCAACUCCCGGGUCUUUAUCGGUAACCUCAACACGGCCAUCGUGAAGAAGGCCGACAUUGAGGUCAUCUUCGCCAAGUACGGCAAGAUCGUGGGCUGUUCGGUGCACAAGGGUUAUGCUUUCGUCCAGUAUAUAAGCGAACGGAACGCCCGGGCGGCCGUGGCGGGCGAGUACGCCAGGAUUAUCGCAGGACAACCACUCGAUAUCAACAUGGCUGGAGAACCCAAACCCUACAGGCCAAAAGCAGGAUCCAAAAGACCCCUCACUGCAGUUUACAGCGGUUAUGAAUUUGAUUACGAUUACUACAGGGACGAUUUUUACAAUCGGCUGUUUGACUAUCAUGGACGGGUGGCCCCUCCUCCGAGAGCCGUGAUCCCUCUGAAGCGCUCGCGGGUGGUCCUUCCAUCCACCCGACGAGGGAAGACUUCCUUCCCCAUUAAAACCCCCUCUUCAUCGAGACCACCAUCAUCGUCGUCGUCCUCCUUCUCCCCUGGGCUGAAAAUUAAGACUGACCAACUCCAGACCAUCAAACGUGAACUGACUCAAAUCAAGAUAAAAAUCGACUCCCUUCUGGGCCGCCUGGAGAAGAUCGAGAAACAGCAAAGAGCAGAGUGCGAAACUCAUAGGAAAUAUGAGGAUAACUGCGACUCCCUGCAUGAGGAGUCGAUAUCAGAAACGGCAGAGAACUCCGGAGAAGAGGGAGGAGAGGGACCCUUAGAAGUGGAGGCGGGUGAGAUGACCGAUGGAGGCGAGGAAGACUAUGACGAAGAGGGCAGCACUGAUCUGAUGAGGAUGGGAGAUAAAAAGGCAGACAUGUGAGGGAAAUAUGGACAAGAGUGAGACUAGAAAAUGGAAAAUCACGUGUCUGAUAUUGACAACUGAAGACUUCUCCACCCAGAGAGAAAAUCAAGUCAGCUUUGAACAGAAUACAUCAAUCUCUGAGAAGACUGACAUCUCUCAAAGAGGCUGUGAAAUCUCUCUUUCAAUUGGCUGUGAUUGGAGGAACAUCAAAAAUUUGGACAUUAUUUACCAUCCCUCACUAUUGCUGUCAUAUGAUAACAUCACAUCCAGUUGUGUUUUGAUUUACAGGCACCCUUUAAACGUUUCAAAAGAUCAUCACACAAAGGAUUUUACCUCAUUUUCUUUGAGAACAAAUAAAACUUGGGGACCUGACUUUGUGAUUCAUCAUUACAGUGCAACUAUCUGCGUGUGGAAAAUGAGCCUUAAGUGUCCGAAAAUGUAAGUUGUCAUUUUUGAAACCCUCUGUAUUAACAGGGAAAAUGUUAAAAGCGUUUUAAAACGUAACAAAAUAUGUCUGUAUUGAGGUCUAAUAAGUAUGUUUCAUGAGGCUGUCAGCCAAACCUUUUUGUAUCAGCUUUUGUUUAUUUGUACUUCUGCGGUCUUAAACACGUCAUAGCCAGUUUAUGUUUUCUGAAAGUAUGUGAAGUUUUGUGUUUUGUGGUAUUCAUUCAAAAUAUAAAAAAAAGAACUGUAAACAGUUUAACUCUACUGCCACGCAUUUUAUCAGACCCCUGAAAUUCAAACUGUAACAUUAGGACAAAUGAAACGUUGUCGGAUCCCUGCAACAUUAAAGAUUUGUUUUGUCUCAA